CUGGAAGUCUUAGUGGCGCAGCUAGCGCACUAAGUUGACCGCCUGGGGAGUACGGCCGCAAGGUUAAAACUCAAAUGAAUUGACGGGGGCCCGCACAAGCGGUGGAGCAUGUGGUUUAAUUCGACGCAACGCGAAGAACCUUACCUGGCCUUGACAUGCAGAGAACUUUCCAGAGAUGGAUUGGUGCCUUCGGGAACUCUGACACAGGUGCUGCAUGGCCGUCGUCAGCUCGUGUCGUGAGAUGUUGGGUUAAGUCCCGUAACGAGCGCAACCCCUAUCCCUAGUUGCUAGCAGUUCGGCUGAGAACUCUAGGGAGACUGCCGGUGACAAACCGGAGGAAGGUGGGGAUGACGUCAGGUCAUCAUGGCCCUUACGGCCAGGGCUACACACGUGCUACAAUGGUGCGUACAGAGGGCUGCAAACCCGCGAGGGGGAGCUAAUCUCACAAAACGCAUCGUAGUCCGGAUCGGAGUCUGCAACUCGACUUCGUGAAGUCGGAAUCGCUAGUAAUCGCGAAUCAGAAUGUCGCGGUGAAUACGUUCCCGGGCCUUGUACACACCGCCCGUCACACCAUGGGAGUGGAUUGCACCAGAAGUGGUUAGUCUAACCUUCGGGAGGA
rnacentral:rRNA from 1 species